rnacentral:rRNA from 1 species
UACGAAGGGGGCGAGCGUUGUUCGGAAUUACUGGGUGUAAAGGGUUCGUAGGCGGUGUGGCAAGUUGGGAGUGAAAUCUCUGGGCUCAACCCAGAGGCUGCUUCCAAAACUGCCGUGCUUGAGUGUGGGAGAGGCUCGUGGAAUUGCAGGUGUAGCGGUGAAAUGCGUAGAUAUCUGCAGGAACACCCGUGGCGAAAGCGGCGAGCUGGACCACUACUGACGCUGAAGAACGAAAGCUAGGGGAGCAAACAGG